rnacentral:rRNA from 1 species
AGUUUGAUCAUGGCUCAGAUUGAACGCUGGCGGCAGGCCUAACACAUGCAAGUCGAGCGGGGUUUCGGACCUAGUGGCGCACGGGUGCGUAACACGUGGGAAUUUGCCUCGGGGUAUGGAAUAACUCAGGGAAACUUGAGCUAAUACCAUAUAAUGUCUUCGGACCAAAGAUUUAUCGCCCUGAGAUAAGCCCGCGUAGGAUUAGCUAGUUGGUGGGGUAAAGGCUCACCAAGGCGACGAUCCUUAGCUGGUCUGAGAGGAUGAUCAGCCACACUGGGACUGAGACACGGCCCAGACUCCUACGGGAGGCAGCAGUGGGGAAUAUUGGACAAUGGGCGAAAGCCUGAUCCAGCAAUGCCGCGUGAGUGAUGAAGGCCUUCGGGUUGUAAAGCUCUUUUACUCGGGACGAUAAUGACGGUACCGAGAGAAUAAGCCCCGGCUAACUCCGUG